GCUUGUCUCAAAGAUUAAGCCAUGCAUGUCUAAGUAUAACUCUUUUACUUUGAAAACUGCGAACGGCUCAUUAUAUCAGUUAUAGUUUCUUUGAUAGUCCCUUACUACUUGGAUACCCGUAGUAAUUCUAGAGCUAAUACAUGCGCCCAAACCCAACUUCUUGGAAGGGUUGUGUUUAUUAGAUACAGAACCAACCCAGGCUCCGCCUGGCCUUGAGGUGAUUCACAAUAACCGAACGAAUCGCAUAGCUGCCGCUGGCGAUAGACCAUUCAAGUUUCUGACCUAUCAGCUAUCGUCGGUAGGGUAUUGGCCUACCGUGGCAAUGACGGGUAACGGAGAAUUAGGGUUCGAUUCCGGAGAGGGAGCCUUAAAAACGGCUACCACAUCCAAGGAAGGCAGCAGG
rnacentral:rRNA from 1 species